GACGAACGCUGGCGGCGUGCUUAACACAUGCAAGUCGAACGGAAAGGCCCUGCUUGCAGGGUCCUCGAGUGGCGAACCGGUGAGUAACACCUGGGUGUUCUGCCCUGCACUUCGGGAUAAGCCUGGGUAACUGGGUCUAAUACCGGAUAGGAGCCAUUUCUAGUGUGAUGGUUGGAGAGUUUUUUCGGUGUAGGAUGAGCUCGCGGCCUAUCAGCUUGUUGGUGGGGUAAUGGCCUACCCAGGCGGCGACGGGUAGCCGGCCUGGGAGGGUGGACGGCCACAUUGAAACUGAGAGACGGCCAAGACUCCGACGAGAGGCAGCAGUGGGAAAGAUUGCACAAGGGGCGCAAGCGUGAUGCAGCGACGCCGCGGCGGGGAGGACGGCCUACGGGUUGUAAAAGGAUUGCGCUAGGAACGAAGCUUUUUGUGACGGUACCUAGAUAAGAAGCACCGGCUAACUACGUG
rnacentral:rRNA from 1 species